rnacentral:rRNA from 1 species
CGGUGUACGGCUCAGUAACAAGUAGUCAAUCUGCCCUUCGGACUGGCAUACCCCCGGGAAACUGGGGCUAAUUCCGGAUGGCCCAUCUCUGCUGGAAUGCUUGAUGGGCAAAACGGCGCGUGAAUUGGAGCGCGUCCGCCGAAGGAUGAGACUGCUCCUGAUUAGGUAGUUGGUGAGGUAACGGCUCACCAAGCCGAUAAUCAGUAGGGGCAAUGGGAGUUGGAGCCCCGAGAAGGGCACUGAGACAAGGGCCCUAGUCCUACGGGAUGCAGCAGGCGCCAAACCU